rnacentral:rRNA from 1 species
GAUGAACGCUGGCGGCGUGCCUAAUACAUGCAAGUCGAGCGAACAGACGAGGAGCUUGCUCCUUUGACGUUAGCGGCGGACGGGUGAGUAACACGUGGAUAACCUACCUAUAAGACUGGGAUAACUUCGGGAAACCGGAGCUAAUACCGGAUAACAUGUUGAACCGCAUGGUUCAACAGUGAAAGACGGUCUUGCUGUCACUUCUCGAUGGAUCCGCGCCGCAUUAGCUAGUUGGUAAGGUAACGGCUUACCAAGGCAACGAUGCGUAGCCGACCUGAGAGGGUGAUCGGCCACACUGGAACUGAGACACGGUCCAGACUCCUACGGGAGGCAGCAGUAGGGAAUCUUCCGCAAUGGGCGAAAGCCUGACGGAGCAACGCCGCGUGAGUGAAGAAGGUCUUCGGAUCGUAAAACUCUGUUAUUAGGGAAGAACAAAUGUGUAAGUAACUAUGCACGUCUUGACGGUACCUAAUCAGAAAGCCACGGCUAACUACGUG